UACGUAGGCAGCGAGCGUUGUUCGGAGUUACUGGGCGUAAAGGGUGCGUAGGCGGUUGGUUAAGUCUGACGUGAAAUCUCCGGGCCUAACCCGGAAACUGCGUUGGAUACUAUCCGGCUAGAGGAAUGGAGGGGAGACUGGAAUACUUGGUGUAGCGGUGAAAUGCGUAGAUAUCAAGUGGAACACCAGUGGCGAAGGCGAGUCUCUGGACAUUUCCUGACGCUGAGGUACGAAAGCGAGGGGAGCAAACGGG
rnacentral:rRNA from 1 species